CGGACGGGUGAGUAACGCGUGGGUAACCUGCCGUAUGCAGGGGGACAACACUUAGAAAUAGGUGCUAACACCGCAUAAGCGCACGAGAGCGCAUGCUUUUGUGUGAAAAACUCCGGUGGCAUACGAUGGACCCGCGUCUGAUUAGCCAGUUGGCAGGGUAACGGCCUACCAAAGCGACGAUCAGUAGCCGGCCUGAGAGGGCGGACGGCCACAUUGGGACUGAGACACGGCCCAAACUCCUACGGAAGGCAGCAG
rnacentral:rRNA from 1 species